AAAUAGAACUUUGCAGAGAGAGUUAACAGGGCGUGAAACCGUUGAUUGGCAAACGAAUCGGAGCCACGAAGUCGUUUCGUCGUUUAGCUUAAGGCUUGGUUCAGCAAGUGUCCCAAAAGGGCACUUGUGUAGUCCAGAGCUUGGCCAAACUUUGUAAGCGUACACUGCAACCAGUUAGACGAUUAGCCAUGGGCACAGUUGUUAGCGAUAGUAGUAGCGCGGUCGAGUCUUGUACUCUUCUCGUGUUGCUGGUCGCCUGUGAGAGAACUAUGGCUGAAUACUGACUGGCGAAAUGAAAACCGCUUCAUAAAGCGUUAGAGACAACGCGGUUAACCGCAUGCUAGUCUACACAGUUGACUGUUAGGUGCAAGCUUGGCGUUUUUGAAUUCAGACUUGCGCGCUACCAGUGGGGCAACUCCUGGUGCGUGUACAGCUUCUGUCUAAUCGGGCGUCGACUUCAUCUGGCAUCGUUCGGUUGUGAAGCGAUUGGGUUGGCAUGCGAGCUAGCUCGCAAUGUGAAUUGGCAGUGAGUAGGUCGUGCUUUCCGAACGACCCGUCUUGAAACACGGAAGGAGUCUAGUUAGGCAUCGAGUCGAUCGGUCUUGAAUAGGCCAGACAUGUUAUUUUAUAACAAGAAGGCGUAGAGAAAUCGUGUGAUCGGCGGCAAAACAGCCGUUGCGCGCAACAUGUGCCUGUUCGUAUAACUACUGCGCAAUGUAGUUGAGCGGAGCAAAGAGAUGCCUGAUUGGGACCCGAAAGAUGGUGAGCCUGGGCAAAUUGAAGCCAGAGGAAACUCUGGUGGAGGAUUUAGUUCUGACGUGCAAAUCGAUCGUCAGCUGGGUAUAGGGGCGAAAGACUAAUCGAACCAUC
rnacentral:rRNA from 1 species